rnacentral:rRNA from 1 species
UACGUAGGGGGCAAGCGUUGUUCGGAAUUACUGGGCGUAAAGGGCGCGUAGGCGGCAUGGCAAGUCAGGAGUGAAAGGCCUGGGCUCAACCGAGGAACUGCUUUUGAUACUGCCGAGCUAGAGUGCGGAAGGGGCAACUGGAAUUCCCAGUGUAGCGGUGAAAUGCGUAGAUAUUGGGAAGAACACCUGAGGCGAAGGCGGGUUGCUGGGCCGACACUGACGCUGAGGCGCGAAAGCCAGGGGAGCAAACGGG